AUAACUUUCAGUGCUUCCAAUAGAUGGCACAUUAACAGUAAGCGUGGUAGUUUUUUGUGAAUGAAGACGUUAAAUACUUACGUAUUGCGAGGAACUUGAAGUGUUUUAUGAAAUUAUGGAAGUCAAAACUUCAAAAUUCUUGUGGAACGCGUCAAAAUUAGUUACAAGAAGACCUGUCCUUCAGAGUUAUUACUUGUCAAAAUGUAGGUCACUACUGCAAGAGGGUGAAGAUGGGCAUUUACCUGGAAACGAAUUUCGUAAAUCGGCGAUGUGUAACUUAUGUAGUAAUGUGUUUAUGUAUGGCAGAUAUCAUAUAUCAGUAAUGCCAGAGAAGGUACCAGGAAAGAAAAUGAAAAAAAUAAUUCGUAGGCAGGAACUGGCUGAGACACUUAGACCAUUUGAGAAGAAGUUGUAUGAGAAGUAUAAAAAAGGAAAGGAUAACAAACUGGUUUUGAAGUGCUUAGUUUGCCAGAAGAGAACCAUUCUACCAUUAUCAAAACCAGUUCAGUUAAAGCCAACCAAAAUUCAGAAUGAAACUGUUGAGACUCCAGUAACAAAUAAGAAGAAGAAAAAGAAGAAGAAGAAAGAUAUAUAUGCAGGCCUUAAUAGUUCUGUUAUGUCAGUAUAUAUUCCCAAAAGAGAACUGUCACAGUUGAAAAGUGAGAAGAAAACUAAGAAAGAAAAUGAACCUGUUGACAUCCAUAGUUCCAUGCAGCCAUCAGCCACUCCUCAAGAAGAGCAGUCAAGAAGAAAAAGUAAAGCUAGGAAGAAUUUCAGUGAUUUAGAACUGUUUCCUACAGAUGAACAGAAGGUGCAUAAAGUGAAAUCAACUGUCAGAAAACAAAUUGCACAAGCAAAGCAACUGAUAAUAGCUUCAAGGAAGAAGGCUAAAAAGAGAAUUGCAUUGGAGUUAGAGAAUACGACUAAGAAAGCGAGAAAGUGUAAUGCUUUACGGAAAAUUUUGGCAGAUACUUCUUCUCAGAGUGCAAGAACAACAUUUAAAGAAUUUUUGGCCAAUUUGAAUUAAAGCAUAUCUCCGUAUUUUAACUUCAAAAUAAACUCCCUUCUGAAAUAUAAGCAACUAAAACACUGAAAUUUGUUUCUUCCAUGUCCUGAUAAUGAAAUUAUGCAUGUAGCUCAGUUUGUUAUAACUGAAUGGGCUCUCUUUCUACAACCAGUACAAGAACUUAUGUAAUGCAAAAUUCCAAGGUGCAGUGCUGUGAAGAUGUGUCAUCUUUAGAUCACUGAGAACAACUUCUGUUGAGAUGGCGGUAUCCGACAUUCAUGGGCUGUGAGAUAAGACCCUAGCUCGGAUGUGGCUCAGUAGCUGAACUAAUUUCGUGGUGGGUUGCUCUGGAAAAUAUUGUUACCUGUUCACUGUGAGAGAGUUAAUGAGAGACUGAUGGCAAGUACAUUUUUAACCUCAGUCAAAAUUGUAUUGGUUUAGGUAUUAAUAGAAAUUACGAAUCAUCUUA